rnacentral:rRNA from 1 species
UACGUAGGGUGCAAGCGUUGUCCGGAAUUAUUGGGCGUAAAGAGCUCGUAGGCGGUCUGUCGCGUCGGAUGUGAAAAUCCAGGGCUCAACCCUGGACCUGCAUUCGAUACGGGCAGACUAGAGUUCGGUAGGGGAGACUGGAAUUCCUGGUGUAGCGGUGGAAUGCGCAGAUAUCAGGAGGAACACCGGUGGCGAAGGCAGCUCGCUGGGACGGUACUGACGCUGAGGCGCGAAAGCGUGGGGAGCGAACAGG